CGCCAACCUAUUCCUCACUCUCUUCUUCACUUACUCCACUGCUCUUACCCUUUCUCUUCCAAGCUACCUUCUCUCAAGACUCGCUUAUCCUUCCCUGUCAAAGCAACUACUGUAAUGGCUUCCUCUGCUAAGAAGGUUUUGGUGCCGAUUGCCAAUGGAACGGAGCCGAUGGAGGCCGUGAUAACUAUCGAUGUACUAAGAAGAGCCGGCGCGGAUGUCAUCGUAGCUUCUGUCGAGAAGCAGCUACGAGUUGAAGCUGGUCACGGCGUCAGGAUCGUCGCCGAUGCUCUCAUUUCUGAUUGCUCCGGCGCCGUUUAUGAUCUCAUCACUCUCCCUGGGGGCCUACCAGGUGCUACAAACCUUAAAAAUUCUGCUGCUUUGGAAAGCAUGGUGAAGAAACAGGCUGCAGAUGGGCGGCUUUAUGCAGCAGUUUGUGCUUCUCCUGCAGUGGCACUUGGCUCAUGGGGGCUGCUAAAGGGAUUGAAAGCAACUUGUUACCCAUCAUUUAUGGAGCAGCUGCAAUCUUGUGCAACAGCUGUCGAAUCACGAGUGCAGCAGGAUGGCAUAGUUGUCACAAGUCGUGGACCUGGCACUACCAUGGAGUUUGCUGUUGCACUAGUUGAGCAAUUGUAUGGGAAAGAAAAGGCGAAUGAAGUUUCUGGCCCUCUGGUGAUGCGUACCAACCAUGGGGAUGAAUAUAUCAUAAAGGAGCUAAAUCCAGUGAAGUGGACAUUUGACAAUAUUCCUCAGAUUCUUGUGCCUAUUGCUAAUGGUACAGAGGAAAUGGAAGCUAUUAUGAUCAUUGAUAUUCUACGACGAGCUAAAGCAAAUGUUGUGGUGGCCUCUGUUGAGGACAAGCUGGAAAUUUUGGCUUCUCGUAAAGUUAAACUGGAGGCAGAUAUGCUCCUUGAUGAGGCUGCUAAGCUUUCUUAUGACCUAAUUGUCUUACCAGGUGGGUUGGGUGGUGCCCAAAAAUUUGCAGUCUCUGAAAAACUGGUAGAUACGCUAAAGAAGCAGAGGGAAUCAAAUAGACCAUAUGGGGCAAUAUGUGCAUCUCCAGCUUUAGUAUUGGAGCCUCAUGGCUUGCUCAAGGGUAAAAAAGCCACAGCUUUUCCCGCGAUGUGUGACAAGCUGUCAGAUAAGAGUGAAACCGAAAACAGGGUUGUGGUUGAUGGCAACCUCAUAACUAGUAGAGGGCCUGGAACUUCAAUGGAGUUUGCCUUGGCAAUAGUGGAGAAGCUGUUUGGACGCCCGAAAGCACUGGAGCUUGCAAAGACGAUGCUUUUUACACACCCAUAGAGCUUGUAUCUGUGUGCCUUCUCGUGUUAUGAGGAACAUAUUAAUGCUAUAGAGAGAAACAUGAGAGAACUGAACUCGAAUUCGUUAUGAAUUCAGGUUGCGGUUGUAUUGUGUAUAACUUUGUGUUCAUAUAUAAAUGAGUUUUGAAGACUGCAAAAUGAUUUAGAGCCCCCUUUUGGCAAUGCAGAAACUCUUAAAAGAAAAAUCGUCGGAGGGGUAAGGAGAUAGCAGCCUUUCAAGGAUAAGUUGAGC
rnacentral:misc_RNA from 1 species